AAAUAGUUACGGCUUAAACUCGAAUUUUUGUUCGGGUACGGAGGAACCAAUUUUUUGGGGUUAAUUCUACAAAGUAGAAGGGAUGAAAGUACUCUUUCGCCAUCCUACCCGUCAGCUAACUUCGUCGGCUAGCGAAGGAGGUCAU
rnacentral:sRNA from 2 species